UACGUAGGGGGCAAGCGUUGUCCGGAUUUAUUGGGCGUAAAGAGCGUGUAGGCGGUCUGGUAGGUCCGUUGUGAAAACUCGAGCUCAACCUCGAGACGCCGAUGGAAACCCUCAGACUAGAGUCCGGAAGAGGAGAGUGGAAUCCGGGUGUAGCGGUGGAAUGCGUAGAGAUCCGGAAGAACACCGGUGGCGAAGGCGGCCUGCUGGGCAGUGGCUGACGCUGAGGCGCGACAGCGUGGGGGAGCAAACAGG
rnacentral:rRNA from 1 species